rnacentral:misc_RNA from 1 species
GCGUAUACCCUCGUCGAGGUGAUUUCCCGAGAAACGUCGAUCGAGCGGUCCGUGGCGCAGCUCCACGGGAAGGCAACGGCAGAGGUAGAUGCGGGGAGCGAGACAGAGAGAGGGCAGACGACGGCGGGAGAGGGAGAAAGAGAAAGAGUGAGAGCCUUGCGUCGAGUGCGCGCAAACGCGCGGACGAGUGAACCGCGAGUGUAAGAUCCUCGGCGAACGCGACACCGACGCGCCGCGAGGGCAUCGCCCGGGCCAACGAGAGCGACCGGGUCGCGGGGAUAUGCGGGUGCGAAGUGGCGAGGGCAUCGUCGCGCGAUCUCACCGUCGGGACGUCCUUCCGCGUUUUUUCCCCCUCCGGCGCCGUCGUUCCGUCCAUUUUUCGUUUUGAAUCGAGGAGGCGGCGUCGGCGCUCGACCGCGCCGAACGAGGACGACCGAAGCUCGGAUCCUCCCAAUCGGGAGGAUUUCACGGGCGAUUACACGAUGCGGACGCGGAUUCGAGCUCUAGAUGAACGCCGAAGGAUGUGAGGUGUGGAGGAAAGGGGCGUGCUGAUCGGUGGCGGCGACGGCCAUGCGAUCCGGCCCGCCGGAAUCGAGUCGCCGUAGGCUUUACCGUCGCCAGUACUUGCAGCGGCUGCACGAUGAAUCUCGGUUCCGGCUGCAGCUGAUCUCUGGCUUUCGCACGGUCCUCCUUCUUCUUUUGGCUUGGAAUCCCACGCAUGCCUUGGCUGACUUCUCGAAAACGAUCCUUCCCGACAAGGUGUCUAGCCUCGUUUCCGAGGAAACGCGACAACCGUUGCCUGCCCAAGCGCUACGACCGCUUUUGAGUUACGACAAUGGAGCGCAGAGGAAAAUUCAUAACCUCACGGUUGGUUAUCUGACCGCUAUCAAGGGAGGCUUGAAAGAUCGUCAAGGGCUCGCGAUCUCAGGUGCGCUGUCGAUGGCCCUCGACGAGGUAAACAACAAUACGGACAUAUUGCCAAAUGUGAAACUAGUUAUGCGCUGGAGCGAUACGAGAGGGGAGACGGUAGAGGCGACUAAAGCAAUGAUCGACAUGAUUUGCGACGGAGUAGUUGCUUUUUUCGGACCGGAAGGCUCGUGUUACGUCGAGGCUAUCGUCGCACAGUCCAGGAACAUACCCAUGAUUAGCUAUAAAUGCUCCGAUUACAAGGCCUCGAAAGUCAGUACCUUCGCUCGGACGGAACCGCCGGAUACGCAAGUAACGAAGUCAGUGAUAGCUCUGCUGCUGCAUUAUGGUUGGAACAAAUUCACUGUUGUAACGGAGAGUGCAUGGUCGACAGUUGCUCGUUCCUUGGAAGACCAAGCCGCUAAACACAACCUCACCGUAAACCAUUACAGAAUUGUGGAGGAUCGACAUACUUGCUGCGAGGAAAGACUACCAUGCUGUCAAGUCAACGUUUGGUUCCAGUUAAUACAGGAGACCAAAAAUAUGACUCGGAUUUAUAUUUUUCUGGGCACUGCGAUGUCGUUGAUAGACAUGAUGAACUCGAUGCAGAAUCAACGAUUACUGGACAAUGGCGAAUACAUGGUGAUACAUGUCGACAUGAUGACGUAUUCGCCACGAGAAGCGCAGAAGUACUUAUGGAAGCCUGAACACUUCGACAACUUGAAGAAUUGUCGCGACCCAAAAGAUUUCUUAAAGCGAGCUCGAUCUCUUAUGGUGGUCGUGUCUACGCCACCGACUCAGAGUUACGAGGAAUUUACAAAGAAGGUGCGCGAGUACAGCAGCAAAGAGCCUUUUAAUUUCGUAAUACCCGAUCUUCUGAAAAAGUAUGAAAAGUAUGUCUCUAUCCAUGCAGCAUACCUCUACGACUCGGUCAAACUAUACGCACGAGCAUUGGACCAACUUUUGCGAGACCAACCGGAUCACGAUUUGAAGGAAAUAGCUGCCAAUGGCACGCAGAUUAUAGAAGCGAUCAUAAAAAAUCAUACUUAUCAGAGUGUCAGCGGAGCUACGAUUAAACUGGACAAAUUUGGCGACUCCGAAGGGAACUUCUCCGUAUUAGCCCUGAAAAAAGAUCCCUUUCGCUUGAAUAAUUUUUCCUGUGAUUACCAAAUGAAACCGGUGGGUCAGUUUCAGCAAGGUGAAACUCUAGUCUACCGACCGUCGGAGGCCGUCGAUUGGCCCGGGAAAAACAAACCCGAAGCGGAACCUGGUUGCGGCUUUCUCAACGAGCAUUGUCCAAAAGAUGACACGCAUCUGCGCAGCAUCAUCGCAGCCGGAGUGCUCGCCGUUCUUUUAUUCUGCGCCGCCGUGGUAACCAUGAGCAUAUAUCGCCGAUGGAAGAUCGAGCAGGAAAUCGAGGGACUGCUGUGGAAAAUCGAUCCGAGCGAAAUACACGGCUAUCCUCAUCUCGACACCUUGAUGUCCUCCCCUAGUAAGUUAAGUUUAGUUAGCGCGAUGUCCUACGAGUCGAGGUGCGGUGGUCAAGUGUUCGCGCAAACUGGUCAUUACCACGGCGUCGUGGUACGGAUAAAGGAGCUGAAAUUUUCGAAGAAGAAGGACAUCUCGCGAGACGUCAUGAAGGAGAUGCGCACGCUCCGCGAAAUCAGACACGGGAACCUCAAUUCUUUCAUCGGCGCUUGCGUCGAACCCAUGCGAAUACUGCUAAUUACCGAUUAUUGUGCCAAAGGAAGUCUCUAUGACAUCAUUGAAAACGAAGAUAUUAAGUUAGACGAUAUGUUUAUUGCCUCUUUAAUUUAUGAUCUCAUUAAGGGUAUGAUGUAUAUUCACGAGUCAUCCGUGCUAGUUUGCCACGGUAACCUGAAAUCUUCAAACUGCGUGGUAACGUCACGUUGGGUUCUUCAAGUGUCCGAUUUCGGACUUCACGACAUGCGCCAGUGUGCGGAGUCGGACAGCAUCGGUGAACAUCAGUAUUAUCGAAACUUAUUUUGGAAAGCUCCGGAAUUGCUGAGGAACCUUCACGCUCCGUUACGAGGCACUCAGGAAGGAGACGUAUACUCGUUUGCUAUAAUUCUGUACGAAAUAUUCGGACGUAAAGGACCAUACGGAGGGGUGAAUCUUGAACCCAACGAAAUCAUAGACCGAGUUAAGAGGUUUCCGGGAGAUGACGAACCACCGUUUAGACCCAACAUCGACAUACUGUCCGAAUCCGAGGUGGACUGCGCGGAAUACAUCGUUGGCACCAUUACCGACUGCUGGGCCGAGAGUCCCGAGCUCAGGCCGGAUUUCAAGAGCAUCAGGACCCGGCUGAAGAAAAUGAAGGUCGGUCGGCACCGUAACAUCAUGGACCAAAUGAUGGACAUGAUGGAGAAAUAUGCCAACAACCUCGAGGAUCUAGUCAGCGAACGAACGCGCCUUCUCUUCGAAGAGAAGCAGAAAACCGAGGACCUGUUGCACCGAAUGCUCCCCGAACCCGUCGCCAAUUGCCUGACGAACGGCAUCGGCGUGGAGCCCGAAGCCUUCGAUUCCGUCACGAUAUAUUUCAGCGACAUCGUCGGCUUUACGGCGAUGUCGGCCGAAAGCACUCCGUUUCAGGUUGUUAAUUUUCUCAACGAUUUAUAUACGUUAUUUGAUCGCAUAAUCAAGGGAUACGACGUGUACAAAGUGGAGACCAUCGGCGACGCGUACAUGGUGGUGAGUACACGCAACCGUUUUCGGGGUCGUUCGACGACGAUAAUCAUCGUUCUCGAUCAGGUGUCCGGGCUGCCGAUCAAAAACGGGAACAAGCAUGCCGGCGAGGUGGCGUCCAUGUCUCUCGACCUGCUGAACGCCGUGAAACACCACACGAUAGCUCACCGCCCCAGCGAGACUCUGAAGCUCCGAAUCGGGAUUCAUACCGGUCCCGUGGUGGCAGGAGUCGUGGGACUGACGAUGCCCAGGUACUGCCUCUUCGGCGACACCGUCAACACGGCCUCGAGAAUGGAGUCGAACGGCGAGCCGCUGCGCAUUCACAUAAGCGGCCAGUGCAAGGACGCCCUGGAGAGAAUCGGCGGGUACGUCGUCGAGGAGAGAGGGAUGGUUUACAUGAAGGGGAAGGGCGAGGUCAAGACGUAUUGGCUGACGGGUGCUACCGAGAAAGCUAUUCAGAAGCGAGAGGUCGACGUGGGCGACCUUCCGCCGUUGUUCAGCCGGCCUCGAAGGAGUCCGAAGCUAAACUCGGACUCGCGGCAGGCGUCGCUGUUGGGAGGACUCGGCUCCUGCAGCAGGAGACAGUCGAACGUCCCGCGCCCGGUCGGGGACGCCUCGUUGUCGCAGUUCAAUGGUUCUAGUCCGCUGCCCCGGUCGUUCCAAGCGAAGAAGCUAGAACGGUCGCCCUUCUAUCUAGCGGAGAGCUCGUCGAAGGCCGCUCUGCCCAACGCGACCAAGCUACAGGAGGAGUCCGACAACAGGGCGGUCAACAUCAAGCUGGCGUUGGACGAUCUGUUCCUCGAAAACGGGCAGAGGCUCCGGAAGAGCGCGCAGCUGCUCUCGACGAUCGCCUCGUCCUCGUCGACCGGUGGCUACCCCUCGCAGGCGGCGAUCCGCGAGUCUCGGUCCCUGGACCUCUUCCCCACGGAGUUCGGCGCCAAGAGCGCCAAGAGCGCCGAGGCGCCCCACCUCUGCUGGCACGAGCCCGGGAAGAGCUUCCGGUCCCUGGAUUACUGCGAGAAGUGCGCGAGGGCCGGCCCGACCGCGAACAUGGCCGGGAAGAUGUUCAACAAUAAUUACCCGAACGGGAACGUGGUCAUAGUGCCUCGCACGAAUAGUACAAGCAACGAGGCGGAGACGCCUCUGCUGGGCGCCGAGGGCGGUUUCGGGGUGAAGGCGAUCCCCGUCAAGCGCUGGCACUCCCUGGACCCGGUGAUCCGGACCCCCGCCGUCGAGAGGGUCCCCGAGCGGAAGCCUUCGGGCCAAACCUCCUUCAGGAGCUGGUUCGUCAACCUCUUCAGUCGAGGCGCCCCGAGAAGCAGCGACGUUACGCUGAGACAAGACCCGAUGGCGAGCUACAACGAGAAAGAGAGCAUCGUUUGACUCGGACGUCGUCUCCUCGUCCGAGUCGACGCGUCCGAGUCGACGCGUCCUCGAGGAGAAGAAGCGGCGGGGACGAGAGAGCACGGGCAUGUUUUAUCGUUGCCAUUUUUUUUCUCUUAAUUUAGGUAUUUUACAAUUUGUACCAAGACAGAGGGGUGAAUCGAGAGGGCGUUGCAAGUUAUCCGUAAGUGUGAUCUAUAAUAGGCUGUAAGUGUGAACGUUUUAUGCUAGAAUAUACUUUACCGUAACAUCAGA